UACGGGGGGAGCAAGCGUUGUUCGGAUUUACUGGGCGUAAAGGGUGCGUAGGUGGCGCCGUAAGUCGGGUGUGGAAAUUUCGGAGCUUAACUCCGAAACUGCAUUCGAUACUGCGGUGCUUGAGGACUGGAGAGGAGACUGGAAUUCAUGGUGUAGCAGUGAAAUGCGUAGAGAUCAUGAGGAAGACCAGUGGCGAAGGCGGGUCUCUGGACAGUUCCUGACACUGAGGCACGAAGGCCAGGGGAGCAAACGGG
rnacentral:rRNA from 1 species